CAGCAGCCGCGGGAAUACGAAGGGUGCAAGCGUUAAUCGGAAUUACUGGGCGUAAAGCGUGCGUAGGCGGUUUGUUAAGUCUGUUGUGAAAUCCCCGGGCUCAACCUGGGAAUGGCAAUGGAUACUGGCAAGCUAGAGUGUGUCAGAGGAUGGCGGAAUUCCCGGUGUAGCGGUGAAAUGCGUAGAGAUCGGGAGGAACAUCAGUGGCGAAGGCGGCCAUCUGGGACAACACUGACGCUGAGGCACGAAAGCGUGGGGAGCAAACAGGAUUAGAUACCCCAGUAGUCCCUGUCUCUUAUAC
rnacentral:rRNA from 1 species